AUGAGCGGAGGAAGAGCCCCGGUACUGGAGAAAGUAGAGGGUAAGUUGAAGGACCUGCGGCUGUCAAAAGCUGAGAAGAACAAAAUCAGGAUCGGGAAGAAGCAAGCAUGUGCCUCGAAGGCGAGCAAGCACCAAGUAGUGGGUAAGAUUCUCUCAUAUAGGCAGGCAAAAGCUGAAUAUGUAGGAAGAACACUCGGCAAUGUCUGGUGCCCGUUCUCAGAAAUUCAGUGCAAAGAUCUUGGCAGAAACAGGUUCCUCUCUAAUAUCCAUGAUAAGGCAGUGAAGAAAAAAGCUUUGGAAGAUGGACCAUGUACCUUCAAUAAAGAUCUGAUAGUAAUGGAGGAUUACGCACCAAAUAAGACUAUAGAGUAUGAAUUUAAAACCAUCCCGAUUUGGGUAAGAGCCUAUGGAAUUCCUAUGGGGAUGAUGAGUAAAGAAAUAGGGGAUUUCGUAGGAGAUCGAAUUGGGGAGGUCCUUAAUGUGGAUUUAGAUGACAAUGGAGAAGCAAUGGGGGCUUUUAUGAGGAUUAAAGUGCAUACUGAUAUUACAGCUCCCUUAACGAGAUUCGGAAUUUUGAUCACUGAUGACGAUGAGGAAGAGCGGGAGUUGCCCAAUGAAGAGGUGAUGGGUGGCGAAGAGGAUGAAAUAGAAGGGAAGAGGAAGGAAAAAGAGAAGAUUAUUUCCUUUGAAUAUGAAUACUUACCUGACUUUUGUUAUAACUGUGGUAUCAUCGGACAUGCAGAGAAGGCUUGCCCAACAAGAUCAAGAAGAGGGAGCUAG
rnacentral:rRNA from 1 species